UACGUAGGGUGCGAGCGUUAAUCGGAAUUACUGGGCGUAAAGCGUGCGCAGGCGGUUUUGUAAGACAGAUGUUAAAUCCCCGGGCUUAACCUGGGAACUGCAUUUGUGACUGCAAGACUAGAGUGCGGCAGAGGGAGGUGGAAUUCCACGUGUAGCAGUGAAAUGCGUAGAUAUGUGGAGGAACAUCAGUGGCGAAGGCGGCUUCCUGGCUUAAAACUGACGCUGUGGCGCGAAAGCGUGGGUAGCAAACAGG
rnacentral:rRNA from 1 species